rfam:Cavia porcellus supercont2_38 genomic scaffold, whole genome shotgun sequence.
GGGGAUAUAGCUCAGUGGUACAGUGCCUGCCUGGCAAGUACGAGGUCCUGAGUUUGAUUCCCAGUACCAACA